UUUGGGCUUUUUUUGUUUUGUUUCCUCGUGGUUUUUGAUAUCUACAAUCCAAGGUUAAUAUCUAUUAGGUCAAGUUUAAGAUGUCAGGUCAUCUAUAAUACAAGGUAAAUUUUGUAUUUAAUUAGUGUCCAUGGAUUUUGUUGUCUACAAGGUCAAUUUUAAGGAGUCUUGUCUUCUACAAUACAAGGUAAAUGUGUAUUUUAUUUGUCGUCAUGGUUUUUGUUACUACAAGGUCGGUAUGUAUUUUGGGCCUUUUUUUGUUUCCUCAUGGUUUUUGAUAUCUACAAUACAAGGUUAAUAUGUAUUUCAUUUGUCAUGGUUUUUGUUAUCGGGUCAAUUUUAAGAAGUCUGGUAAUCUACAAUACAAGGUAAAUAUUUUAUUUGUCAUGGUUUUUGUUAACUACAAGGUCAAUUUGCGGGGUUUUGGUCAUAUACAAUAAAAGGUCAGUAUGUAUUUAGUUUGUGUUUUUUGUUUCCUCAUGUUUUUGAUAUCUACAAUUUGUCUAUUUUGUGUCAUCAUGGUUUCUAUUAACUACAAGGUCAAUUUUGGGUUCUGGUCAUUUUCAAUCCAAGUUCGAUUUGUAUUUAAUUUGUGUCCUUUUCGUCCUCAAGGUCACUUUUGCGGGUCUGGUCAUCUACAAUACAAGGUCAAUAUGUAUUUCAUUUGUCAUGGUUUCUAUUAAUUACAUGUUUUGGGGGGCUCUGGUCAUGUACAAUGCAAGGUAAAUUUGUAUUUAAUUAGUGUCCAUGGAUUUAGUUGUCUACAAGGUCAAUUUUAAGGAGUCUUGUCUUCUACAAUACAAGUAAAAUUUGUAUUUUAUUUGUCAUGGUUUUUGUUAUUACAAGGUCGGUAUGUAUUUGGGCCUUUUUUUUUUUUUUCCUCAUGGUUUUUGAUAUCUACAAUACAAGGUUAAUAUGUAUUUCAUUUUGUCAUGGUUUUUCUUAUCUACAAGGUCAAUUUGAAGGAGUCUGUUCAUCUACAAUACAAGGUCAAUUUGUAUUUUAUUUGUGUCAUGGUUUUUAACUACAAGGUCAGUAUGUAUUUAACUUGUGUCACUGUUUUUGUUUCCUCAUGGUUUUUGAUAUCUACAAUCCAAGGUUGAUAUGUAUUUCAUUUGUCAUGGUUUUUAUUAACAAGGUCAAUUUUGGGGGGUGGGGGAUCAUCUAUAAUACAAGGUCAAUAUGUAUUUUUUUUGUCAUGGUUUUUAACUACAAAGUCAAUAUGUAAUUUGUCAUGUUUUUUGUUAUCUACAAGGUCAAUUUUAAAGAAUCUGGUCACCUACAAUACAAGGUAAAUUUAUUUUAUUUGUGUCAUGGUUUUUAACUACAUGGUCAGUAUGUAUUUAACCUGUGUCACUGUUUCCUCAUGGUUUGUGAUAUCUACAAUACAAGGUCAAUAUGUAUUUAAUUUGUCAUGAUUUUUGUUAUCUACAAGGUAAAUUUUAAGGAGUGUGGGCAUCAAAAAUACAAGGUAAAUUUGUAUUUUAACUACACGGUCAGUACGUAUAUUGUUUUUGUUUCCUCAUGGUUUUUGAUAUCCUCUAAUACAAGGUCAAUGUAUAUUUUAUGUGUCAUGGUUUCUAUUAACAACAAGGUCAAUUUUGGGGGGUGUCUCAUCUCUAAUAAAAGGUCAAUCUAUUUUUUUUUGUCAUGGUUUUUAACUACAAAGUCAAUAUGUAAUUUGUCAUGUUUUUUGUUAUCUACAAGGUCAAUUUUAAAGAGUCUGGUAAUCUACAAUACAAGGUAAAUUUGUAUUUUAUUUGUCAUGGUUUUUGUUACUACAAGGUUGGUAUGUAUUUCGGGACUUUUUUUUUUUUUUAGGGUUAGGGUUUGGCCUUUGUUUUAAUGUUUUUGAUAUCUACAAUAAGUUUAUGUAUUUUGUCGUCAUGGUUUCUAUUAACUACAAGGUCAAUUUUGGGGUUCUGGUCAUCUACAAUCCAAGUUCGAUUUGUAUUUAAUUUGUGUCCUUUUUAUCUUCAAGGUCACUUUUGCACGUAUGGUCAUCUAAAAUACAAGGUCACUAUGUAUUUCAUUUGUCAUGGUUUCUAUUAAUUACAAGGUCAAUUUUGGGGGGCUCUGGUUAUCUACAAUACAAAGUAAAUAUGUAUUUUUUGCCAUGGUAUUUAUCUACAAGGUCAAUUUUGGGGGUCUGGUCAUCUACAAUACAAGGUCAAUAUGUAUUUCCUUUGUCAUGGUUUUUGUUAUCUACAAGGUCAAUUUUAAGGAGUCUGGUCUUCUACAAUACAAGGUCAGUAUGUAUUUAAUUUGUGUCCUCAUGGUUUUUGUUUUCUACAAGGUCAAUUUUAGGGGUCUUGUCAUCGACAAUACAUGUUAAAUAUGUAUUUUAAUUUGUGUCAUGGUUUUUGAUAUCUACAAGGUCAAUUUUGGAGUCUGGUUAUCUACAAUACAAAGUCAAUAUGUAUAUAAUUUGUGUCCUCAUGGUGUUUGUCUCCUCAGUUUUUGAUAUCUACAAGGUCAAAAUUGGUUUAUUCCACUAUGCAAUGCAACACUCUUACCUAAUGUUGUCCAUGUAUUCAUUCAUGUGACUAAUUUCUCAUUCUUACACCCUGCAGCGCUACAACAGUACACAAGUCUUACACAAUGUGUUAUGGAAUAUGCUCCUGCUUCUCCUCCUGCUGUGCGCACUGUUGAGUGCAUGGCGGAGCACAUCAACAGGUGUUCUCUCUCCGCUGCGGGUGUGCCUCUGCAAGAGAUCUGCAAUCAACACACCUGCCCGUGAUGAGCAACCAGCCUUCAUAAUCCAGCGCGUCUUGAGAUCCGGUGCCAGAACGUAGUUUCUCCUACCAGUACACUUCCUCUUCGUCUACCUGGACCCCCUUUGGAUUCCUUCUUGCCUUCCUGGACCAAGACCUCGCUCCUGCCCUCUGACGUCCAAGCCUUUUUCUCCUUUUGGACUUCCACCUCUAUCUCAACACACACACACUCAACACCCUCUGGUGACCACGCUCAGAUAAUACUUACACAUAGUCACACUCCAUCUCUUUAAGGUAAUCACACACUGCACUCACAUACUGAGUUGUCAAUAAACACGC